AUGCAGCCGCAGACAGAGCAAGGAGAGGGCAGCGCCGCCGCGGCGAAGGAAAUGGAGGAGGAGCCGCACAUUGAGCGGCUUCCCGCCGACCUCCUCGCGCACGUGCUCGCCCUCCUCUCCUCCUUCCACGACCUCGCCAUGGCCGAGGGAGUGAGCCGACGGUGGCGCCAGGCGGUGGGCCGGUCGCUGGCGUCGCGGCGGCGGCUGAGCUUCGCGGGGCAGCGCACCGGCGACGACUCCGCCGCGCGCAUGGUCCGCGCCGCCGUCAAUCUCCGCGACCUCGACGUUUCGCGGGGCUGCUGGGGCUGCCACAUCACCGACGGAGGGCUGCUGCAGAUCUCCACGGCGGAGUGCGUCGGCAAGCUGACGGCGAUCUCGCUGUGGGGAUUGGCCGGGAUCACUGACAAGGGCGUCGUUCGUCUGGUGUCAAGAGCCCAUUCUCUGCAACACCUCAAUAUUGGUGGAACAUUUAUCACCGAUGAAUCAUUGUAUGCAGUUGCAGACAAUUGUACAAAUCUGAAGAGCAUCAUGCUGUGGAGCUGCCGCCAUGUCACGGCGGCCGGCCUGGUGGCGCUGGUGAGCAAGUGCCCCGAGCUGGCGUGCAUCAACGUCGGCGGGAUGAGGGUGUCGCCGGAGAGCUUCGCCGGCCUGCUCUCCAUCAGCCCUGCUCUGAGGAUCAGGUCCGUCCCGGAGAUCGUCAACGCCAGCGUGCAGGUUUCAUGA
rnacentral:rRNA from 1 species